rnacentral:rRNA from 1 species
AAUCAACGCUGGCGGCGUGCCUCAGACAUGCAAGUCGAACGGUUAAGACUUCCUUCGGGGAGUGUAUAAAGUGGCGCACGGGUGAGUAACACGUGGGUAAUCUACCUUCGGGUGGGGAUAACCUGCCGAAAGGUGGGCUAAUACCGCAUAAUGCAGCGGCACCGAAUGGUGACAGUUGUUAAAGGAGCAAUCUGCCUGAAGAGGAGCCCGCGGCCGAUUAGCUAGUUGGUAGGGUAACGGCUUACCAAGGCGACGAUCGGUAGCCGGCCUAAGAGGGCGGCCGGCCACACUGGCACUGAAACACGGGCCAGACUCCUACGGGAGGCAGCAUG